rnacentral:rRNA from 1 species
GACGAACGCUGGCUGCGUGCUUAACACAUGCAAGUCGAACGCUGAAGCUCACAGCUUGCUGUGGGUGGAUGAGUGGCGAACGGGUGAGUAACACGUGAGUAACCUGCCCCCGAUUUCGGGAUAAGCCCGGGAAACUGGGUCUAAUACCGGAUAUGACCACCGGCCGCAUGGUUGGUGGUGGAAAGUUUUUCGAUCGGGGAUGGGCUCGCGGCCUAUCAGCUUGUUGGUGGGGUAAUGGCCUACCAAGGCAACGACGGGUAGCCGGCCUGAGAGGGCGACCGGCCACACUGGGACUGAGACACGGCCCAGACUCCUACGGGAGGCAGCAGUGGGGAAUAUUGCACAAUGGGGGAAACCCUGAUGCAGCGACGCAGCGUGCGGGAUGACGGCCUUCGGGUUGUAAACCGCUUUCAGCAGGGAAGAAGCGUAAGUGACGGUACCUGCAGAAGAAGUACCGGCUAACUACGUGCCAGCCGCCGCGGUAA